rnacentral:rRNA from 1 species
GGCCAGCAGCCGCGGUAAUACGGAGGGUGCAAGCGUUGUUCGGAAUUACUGGGCGUAAAGGGCGCGUAGGUGGCUGUGUAAGUCGGGUGUGAAAUCCCCAGGCUCAACUUGGGAACUGCAUCCGAUACUGCAUGGCUAGAGUGCAGCAGAGGGAAACGGAAUUCCUGGUGUAGAGGUGAAAUUCGUAGAUAUCAGGAGGAACACCGGUGGCGAAGGCGGUUUCCUGGGCUGACACUGACACUGAGGCGCGAAAGCGUGGGUAGCAAACAGGAUUAGAUACCCUGGUAGUCCACGCUGUAAACGGUGAGUGCUGGGUGUGGGAGGUGUAAUGCCUUCUGUGCCGAAGCUAACGCGUUAAGCACUCCGCCUGGGGAGUACGGCCGCAAGGUUGAAACUCAAAGGAAUUGACGGGGGCCCGCACA